rnacentral:rRNA from 1 species
AGAGUUUGAUCCUGGCUCAGAAUCAACGCUGGCGGCGUGCCUAACACAUGCAAGUCGAACGAGAAAGGGGAGCAAUCCCUGAGUAAAGUGGCGCACGGGUGAGUAACACGUGACUAACCUACUCUUGAGUGGGGGGAUAACUGAGGGAAACCUUAGCUAAUACCGCAUAAAACCUACGGGUCAAAGGAGCAAUUCGCUCGAGAAGGGGGUCGCGGCCGAUUAGUCAGUUGGCGGGGUAACGGCCCACCAAGACGAUGAUCGGUAUCCGGCCUGAGAGGGCGCACGGACACACUGGAACUGAAACACGGUCCAGACUCCUACGGGAGGCAGCAGUGGGGAAUUUUGCGCAAUGGGGGAAACCCUGACGCAGCAACGCCGCGUGGAGGAUGAAGUCCUUCGGGACGUAAACUCCUUUCGAUCGGGACGAUAAUGACGGUACCGGAAGAAGAAGCCCCGGCUAACUUCGUGCCAGCAGCCGCGGUAAUACGAGGGGGGCGAGCGUUGUUCGGAAUUAUUGGGCGUAAAGGGUGCGUAGGCGGUUUGGUAAGUCUUGUGUGAAAUUUCCAGGCUCAACUUGGAAGCUGCACGAGAAACUGCCGGGCUUGAGUGUGGGAGAGGUGAGUGGAAUUCCUGGUGUAGCGGUGAAAUGCGUAGAUAUCAGGAGGAACACCUGUGGCGAAAGCGGCUCACUGGACCAUAACUGACGCUGAUGCACGAAAGCUAGGGGAGCAAACAGGAUUAGAUACCCUAGUAGUCC